rnacentral:sRNA from 1 species
CUGGGAACUUUUAUGGUCCUGCAUUUCUUUAAGAAGUUGCCUUUUUUAUGUUUCCAUUCAUCGUUCCUUUGUAAUAACACACGUUUACGUGAUCGUAUUUUAGGAGGAUUUUCAAGAUGCAAAAUGGUACAGUAAAAUGGUUUAACGCAGAAAAAGGUUACGGUUUCAUUCAAGUUGAAGGCGGUAACGAUGUAUUCGUACACUACUCUGCUAUCCAAGAAGAAGGUUUCAAAACACUAGAAGAAGGCCAAAGCGUUUCUUUCGAAAUCGUUGAAGGCGACCGCGGCCCACAAGCUGCUAACGUAACAAAAAACUAAUCAUUGCCCAUAUAUACAAGGUACCCCAACUCGGGGUACCUUUUUUU